AGACCUAUAAAUAUUGCCGGACAAUACAAUCUACAGAUUAAAAUCCAAAGAAUUUGGCGGUGUUUUAUACUAUCAGGGGAACCUGUCCCUUAAAUCGAUAUUCCACGAAACCUAAACCAAUCUUGAAUAUCAGCUUGUGUACUGCUGUCGUCAGUAAACCUCUAAAAGAUAGUUUACAGCAUUAAUAAUAAUUAAUUACGUCAAGUCAAAGUGCAGCUUAUAGACUGGUGAAGAUGGGUU
rnacentral:rRNA from 1 species